GACGAACGCUGGCGGCGUGCUUAACACAUGCAAGUCGAACGAAGUGGCGGACGGGUGAGUAACGCGUAAUCAACCUGCCCUUCAGAGGGGGACAACAGUUGGAAACGACUGCUAAUACCGCAUACUGACGGCGGAGAUUGCGUGGGAUUAGCUAGUUUGAGGGGUAACGGCCCACCAAGGCGAUGAUCCGUAGCCGGUGUUAGAGGAGGAACUGCCCCACUGGGACCGAGACCCGGCCCAGAAUCCUUAGGGAAGCAGCAGUGGGGAAACUUCCGCAAUUGGCGAAAGUCUGACUGAGGAACGCCCGGUGAGUGAUGACGGCCUUCGGGUUGUAAAGCUCUGUUAAUCGGGACGCGGUACCGGAAUAGAAAGCCACGGCUAACUACGUGCCAGCAGCCGCGGUAAUUC
rnacentral:rRNA from 1 species